rnacentral:rRNA from 1 species
AUUAGCUAGUUGGCGGGGUAACGGCCCACCAAGGCGAUGAUGGGUAGGGGGUGUGAGAGCAUGGCCCCCCACACUGGGAUUGAGAUACGGCCCAGACUCCUACGGGAGGCAGCAGUGGAGAAUCUUGCACAAUGGGGGCAACCCUGAUGCAGCGACGCCGCGUGGACGAUGAAGGCCCUUCGGGUUGUAAAGUCCUUUUCUAUGGGGAGAAGAUGCGAAGUAGUAACUGACUUUGCAGUGACGGUACCAUAGGAAUCAGUCACGGCUAACUCUGUGCCAGCAGCCGCGGUAAUACAGAGGUGGCAAAUGUUGCUCGGAAUUACUGGGCGUAAAGGACGCGCAGGCGGACUGUUAAGUCAAGAGUGAAAACUUCCGGCUCAACCGGGAGCAUGCUUUUGAAACUGGCGGUCUUGAGACACGUAGGGGAUGACGGAACACCUGGAGUAGUGGUGAAAUGCGUAGAUAUCAGGUGGAACACCGGUGGCGAAGGCGGUCAUCUGGACGAGGUCUGACGCUGAGGCGUGAAAGCCGGGGGAGCAAACAGGAUUAGAUACCCUGGUAGUCCCGGCCCUAAAC